AGAGUUUGAUCCUGGCUCAGGAUGAACGCUGGCGGCGUGGAUAAGGCAUGCAAGUCGAGCGCGUUAAUAUGCGAUUACAUCAAGUAUUAACGAGCGGCAGACGAGGUAGUAAUAAAUAGGUACCAACCCUUUAGUCGGGAAUAACUUGUCGAAAGACAGGCUAAUGCUCGAUAGUCUCUUCGGAGUAAAGAUUUAUCGCUAAAGGAUGGGCCUAUUCGGUAUCAGGUAGUUGGUAGGGUAAUGGCCUACCAAGCCAAUGACGCCUAGGGGGGGUGAGAGCCUGUUCCCCACCGAUGGGACUGAGACACGGCCCAUACACCUACGGGUGGCUGCAGUCGAGAAUCUUCCGCAAUGGACGAAAGUCUGACGGAGCGACGCCGCGUGAAGGAUGAAGUAUUUAGGUAUGUAAACUUCUUUUAUCUGGGAAGAAAUUUUUGACGGUACUAGAUGAAUAAGGGGUUGCUAAACUCGUGCCAGCAGCAGCGGUAAUACGAGUGCCCCGAGCGUUAUCCGGAAUUAUUGGGCGUAAAGGUUGCGUAGGCGGUUUUAUUAGUCUCUUGUUAAAUUCCUCGGCUUAACCGAGGUCACGCAAGGGAAACGGUAAGACUAGAGAAAGUGAGGGGUUUGCGGAACUCAUGGUGUAGCGGUGAAAUGCGUUGAUAUCACGGGGAACACCAAAAGCGAAGGCAGCAAACUGGCACUCUUCUGACGCUGAGGCAAGAAAGCGUGGGUAGCGAAUGGGAUUAGAUACCCCAGUAGUCCACGCCCUAAACGUUGUUCUCUGGCUUUAGGAAGUAUCGACCCUUCCUGAGGCGAAGCUAACGCGUUAAGAGAACCGCCUGGGUAUUACGGCCGCAAGGCUAAAACUCAAAGGAAUAGACGGGGACUUGCACAAGCAGUGGAUCAUGUGGUUUAAUUCGUCGACAAACGAAGAAUCUUACCAGGCCUAGAAAUCUAGUUGAAGACAGUAAGAAACUAUUGUCGCCGCAAGGCAAUCAGACAGGUGCUGCAUGGUUGUCGUCAGUUCGUGGCUUGAGUUGUUCCCUUAAGUGGGGUAACGAACGCAACCCUCGUCGUGUGUUAUAUUUGUCACACGAGACUGCCCACGAUAGAGAUCGGAAUUUGAUCAGAGUAAAAUCUCUGAUUAAUUGUUGUUUCUAUCGUGGGAGGAAGGCGAGGAUGACGCCAAAUCAGCAUGGCCCUUUGACGGCCUGGGCUACACACGUGAUACAAUCGCUGGUACAGCGGGACGCAAUGACGUUGUAAGUCGGAGCAAACCCCAAUAAGCCAGCGCCAGUUCGGAUUGAAGUCUGCAAUUCGACUUCAUGAAGCCGGAAUUGCUAGUAAUCGCGGGUCAGCCAUACCGCGGUGAAUACGUUCUCAAGUCUUGUACUCACCGCCCGUCAACCCAAGGGAGCUGGGGGUACCCGAAAUCUCGCAUUAGCGGGCCUAAGGUAAAUUCAGUGACAGGGGGUAAGUCGUAACAAGGUAACCG
rnacentral:rRNA from 1 species